rnacentral:rRNA from 1 species
AUGAACCCCUCCUCGGCUCCGGGCCCGGAUGGAUUGCCAGUCUCGUUUUUCAAAACAUUCUGGCAAACCAUCAAACCGGAAGUCAUGGCCCUCUUCGACGAGUUCUUCUUUGGAACCAUGGACCUUGGGCGCCUAAACUAUGGGAUCAUUACCCUCAUCCCCAAGGUCCCGGGGGCCUCGGACAUUCGCCAAUUCCGCCCGAUCACGGCAAUCAACGUGAUCUUCAGGAUCUUGGCUAAAGGGUACGCCAAUAGGGUGACCCUUCUAGCGGACUCUGUCACCCACCCCAACCAAUCCGCCUUCAUCCAAGGCUGGUUUAUUUUGGAUGGGGUGCUGGUCUUUCACGAAGUCCUCCAUGAAGUCCGAGCCAAGAACCACCGCACGGUCUUCCUAAAGCUCGACUUUCACAAAGCCUACGACACUGUCCAUUGGCCCUUCCUUCGGGAAGUUUUGCUUCGAAAGGGCUUCGACGACCGCUGGGUGACCCGCGUUAUGCAACUCAUCACCUGCGGUCGGACGGCGGUCAACAUCAACGGUGAGAUCGGGCCUUACUUCCCCACCUUAUGUGGGGUCCGACAGGGUGACCCGAUCUCCCCGUUUUUGUUCAACAUGGUUGUCGAUGCCCUCGCGGUCAUCCUUGAUAAGGCCAAAGCUUGCGGCCAUAUCCGCGGCAUAGUCCCCCACCUAGUGGGCGGGGGAGGGGUCUCCCUCCUCCAAUAUGCGGACGACACCAUAGUUAUGGUGGAGGGCUCCGCGUCCGACAUCGCCAACCUGAAGUUCCUCCUCCUGUGUUUCCAACAGAUGUCUAGGCUCACCAUCAACUUCGAUAAGAGCGAAGUGAUGGUCCUUGGCUAUCCUCCGGAGGAGGCUUUAUCAAUUGCGGACUAG